UACGUAGGGUGCAAGCGUUAAUCGGAAUUACUGGGCGUAAAGCGUGCGCAGGCGGUUCUAUAAGACAGAUGUGAAAUCCCCGGGCGCAACCUGGGAACUGCAUUUGUGACUGUAGAGCUGGAGUGCGGCAGAGGGGGAUGGAAUUCCGCGUGUAGCAGUGAAAUGCGUAGAUAUGCGGAGGAACACCGAUGGCGAAGGCAAUCCCCUGGGCCUGCACUGACGCUCAUGCACGAAAGCGUGGGGAGCAAACAGG
rnacentral:rRNA from 1 species